rnacentral:rRNA from 1 species
CAGUCGCCACGGUAAUACGUAGGUGGCAAGCGUUGUCCGGAAUUAUUGGGCGUAAAGGGCUCGCAGGCGGCUACUCAAGUCAGGGGUGAAAGCCCAGGGCUCAACCCCGGAACUGCCUUUGAAACUAGAUAGCUUGAAUCUUGGAGAGGCGAGUGGAAUUCCGAGUGUAGAGGUGAAAUUCGUAGAUAUUCGGAAGAACACCAGUGGCGAAGGCGACUCGCUGGACAAGUAUUGACGCUGAGGUGCGAAAGCGUGGGGAGCAAACAGGAUUAGAUACCCGCGUAGUCCCUGUCCUUAUACA